AUUAAUUGUAUAUCACAGACUGGCUUCAAAAAAGUGGUAGUUGUAACUGUGUUACUCCUGUUUAAAGGGUCCCAUUCUAGUAUCUUUAUCUCCAAAAUGAAAAAGUGAUUUCAGUUUCCCCUAUUUCCAAUAUUAUUGAAAAAAUCAUCAUAAAACAAACUUCCAUCUACUUACAUUAUGUCGCAUAGUAUAAAACAACUCAUACAAAGCAUACAAAAACAAUAUCUACAACUGUGACAUUUCCAUAAUGCAUUAAUCUCAGUGAUUUACCGCCAAUUUCACUUUAAAAUAUGAACAACUAUGACAUAAUAUUGUUUGUUACAUAAGUCAAAUAUUGUGCCUGAACCAAAUUCAAAACAUGGAGUUGUUCCCUUCAAAUUUUCAUAAAGAGUUAAAAA
rnacentral:lncRNA from 1 species